UACGUAGGGGGCAAGCGUUGUCCGGAUUUAUUGGGCGUAAAGAGCGUGUAGGCGGCCUGACAGGUCUGCUGUGAAAACUCGAGGCUCAACCUCGAGAUGUCGGCGGAAACCGUCUGGCUAGAGUCCGGAAGAGGAGAGUGGAAUUCCUGGUGUAGCGGUGAAAUGCGCAGAUAUCAGGAAGAACACCGAUGGCGAAGGCAGCCCCCUGGGCUAACACUGACGCUCAGGCACGAAAGCGUGGGGAGCAAACAGG
rnacentral:rRNA from 1 species